rnacentral:rRNA from 1 species
UACAGAGGUCUCAAGCGUUGUUCGGAUUCAUUGGGCGUAAAGGGUGCGUAGGUGGCAUGGUAAGUCGGAUGUGAAAUCCCGGGGCUCAACCCCGGAACUGCAUUCGAUACUGCUGCGCUAGAGUACUGGAGAGGAGAUUGGAAUUUACGGUGUAGCAGUGAAAUGCGUAGAUAUCGUAAGGAAGACCAGUGGCGAAGGCGGAUCUCUGGACAGUUCCUGACGCUGAGGCACGAAGGUCAGGGGAGCAAACGGG